rfam:Dipodomys ordii contig_3187, whole genome shotgun sequence.
GGGGAGGUGGCUCAGUGGUAGAGCGCUUGCUUUGCAUGCAUGAGGCCUUGGGUUCGAUUCUCCAGCACCACA